CGAGUCAAUAAGCAUCACAGAAGGACCAGAGAAGUUGAGGUUUGAAGAAGAGGCUGUUUGAUUUUUUUAAUGCUUCUGAGAGAGUCUGUAAGGUGAGGAGAGACUCAGGACCAUUGUUCUUUAAAACAAAGAGGUCACUGAUGGUGGAUACAUGAACAGCUUCACUGGAGGGCUGGCGCAGAAGUUCAGCACAAAAAGAGAAAUUAAGAAAGAACUUGGAAUCAGUGAGUCUCAACCAACAGUAAAAUAUGAAGGAAUUGGCAGUCUUGACUACCUUCCCUGGAGAUAGAGAACGAGAUAAGAUGAAAAGUGAAGUUGGGUAAAGAAUGGGAGAAGGCAAUUCAAGAACAGACUACACUGGUGAUCUCAGGGGUGGGAGAAGACAGGUAGCAAGUAAACACAGCGGAUAUCAAUGAUGAAA